rnacentral:misc_RNA from 1 species
GGAAGUAAGAGUCGUAACAAGGUUUCCGUAGGUGAACCUGCGGAAGGAUCAUUAAUGAGUUGUCAUGGGGUUCGAUGCUGGCAGCCAAUUUUUGGAUGCAUGUGCUUGCCCUAACAAUCAUCUUCCAAACACCUGUGCACAUUUUUGAGGGAGUCUUGAGUUGGUUGCCGCUCUUGGGUGAUUUUCUCACAUUCCCUUAAAUCAUUAUACGCUAUUAACAAUGUUGAACGUGCUCUGUGCCGCAAGGCUAUUAAUAUAAUACAACUUUUAACAACGGAUCUCUUGGCUCUC